rnacentral:rRNA from 1 species
GAGCGGUAAUACAGAGGCCCCAAGCGUUACCCGGAAUUACUGGGCGUAAAGGGUGUGUCGGUGGUUGUAUUAGUCAGUUGUUAAAACCCGAGGCUCAACCUCGGAUCUGCGACUGAAACGGUACAACUUGAGGGUGGGAGAGGUCUAUGGAACUCUAAGUGUAGGGGUGAAAUCCGUUGAUAUUUAGGGGAACACCAAAAGCGAAGGCAAUAGACUGGCCCAUUCCUGACACUCGAGCACGAAAGCGUGG